GAUGAACGCUGGCGGCGUGCCUAAUACAUGCAAGUCGAGCGAACAGACGAGGAGCUUGCUCCUCUGACGUUAGCGGCGGACGGGUGAGUAACACGUGGAUAACCUACCUAUAAGACUGGGGUAACUUCGGGAAACCGGAGCUAAUACCGGAUAAUAUAUUGAACCGCAUGGUUCAAUAGUGAAAGACGGUUUUGCUGUCACUUAUAGAUGGAUCCGCGCCGCAUUAGCUAGUUGGUAAGGUAACGGCUUACCAAGGCGACGAUGCGUAGCCGACCUGAGAGGGUGAUCGGCCACACUGGAACUGAGACACGGUCCAGACUCCUACGGGAGGCAGCAGUAGGGAAUCUUCCGCAAUGGGCGAAAGCUUGACGGAGCAACGCCGCGUGAGUGAUGAAGGUCUUCGGAUCGUAAAACUCUGUUAUUAGGGAAGAACAAAUGUGUAAGUAACUAUGCACGUCUUGACGGUACCUAAUCAGAAAGCCACGGCUAACUACGUG
rnacentral:rRNA from 1 species